rnacentral:rRNA from 1 species
GGGUGAGUAACGCGUGAACAAUCUGUCCCAGACAGGGGGAUAACAGAUGGAAACAUCUGCUAAUACCGCAUAAGACCACGACACCACAUGGUGAUGAGGUAAAAGAUUUAUCGGUCUGGGGUGAGUUCGCGUCCGAUUAGCUAGUUGGUGAGGUAACGGCCCACCAAGGCGACGAUCGGUAGCCGACCUGAGAGGGUGAUCGGCCACAUUGGAACUGAGACACGGUCCAAACUCCUACGGGAGGCAGCAGUGGGGAAUAUUGGGCAAUGGGCGCAAGCCUGACCCAGCAACGCCGCGUGAGGGAAGAAGGUUUUCGGAUUGUAAACCUCUGUCCUCAAGGACGAAGGAAGUGACGGUACUUGAGGAGGAAGCCCCGGCUAACUACGUGCCAGCAGCCGCGGUAAUACGUAGGGGGCGAGCGUUGUCCGGAAUGACUGGGCGUAAAGGGCGUGUAGGCGGCUCUUUAAGUCUGGAGUGAAAGUCCUGCUUUCAAGGUGGGAAUUGCUUUGGAGACUGGAGAGCUUGAGUGCGGAAGAGGUAAGUGGAAUUCCCAGUGUAGCGGUGAAAUGCGUAGAUAUUAGGAGGAACACCAGUGGCGAAGGCGGCUUGCUGGACGACAACUGACGCUGAGGCGCGAAAGCGUGGGGAGCAAACAGGAUAAGAUACCCUGGUAGUCCACGCUGUAAACGAUGAAAUACUAGGUGUGGGAAGGACUGACCCCUUCCGUGCCGCAGUUAACACAAUAAGUAUUCCACCUGGGGAGUACGACCGCAAGGUUGAAACUCAAAGGAAUUGACGGGGGCCCGCACAAGCAGUGGAUUAUGUGGUUUAAUUCGACGCAACGCGAAGAACCUUACCAGGACUUGACAUCCAACUAACGAAGUAGAGAUACAUUAGGUGCCCUUCGGGGAAAGUUGAGACAGGUGGUGCAUGGUUGUCGUCAGCUCGUGUCGUGAGAUGUUGGGUUAAGUCCCGCAACGAGCGCAACCCCUAUUGUUAGUUGCUACGCAAGAGCACUCUAGCGAGACUGCCGUUGACAAAACGGAGGAAGGCGGGGACGACGUCAAAUCAUCAUGCCCCUUAUGUCCUGGGCUACACACGUAAUACAAUGGCCGUCAACAAAGGGAAGCGAAGCCGCGAGGUGGAGCAAAUCCCCAAAAACGGUCUCAGUUCGGAUUGCAGGCUGCAACUCGCCUGCAUGAAGCUGGAAUUGCUAGUAAUCGCGGAUCAGCAUGCCGCGGUGAAUACGUUCCCGGGCCUUGCACACACCGCCCGUCA